UCUAGUCAUUCGGAUGGGACGAAAAACUGAGGUCCCGUGUACACAUUGGCAUGCACGUAAAAGAUCCCUUGGCAGUUGGAAUUCGAUAUAAGAGUAGGUCAUAGUGCCGCUGCUCGGGCAAAAUUUCCCUCAUAGCACACUGUAUGGCAUAUGCCCGUCUUCAUUAGCCCAGUUUGGAGCAGAACAGUAGGACGUUAAACCCCAUUUCAUUUCAUUUCAUUUAAUAGAAUUAAACAACUUGUCCAACUUGUCUUUUAGCAAGUUCUAUCGCCAUUUCGCUGAUACAUUGUCAUGUGUAGAAAGCGACCUUCACCGAUCAUGUCUUUACAUCCGUAUAGGAACAUAAAAAUUAAUGGUAAUCAUUAAGAGUAGGCCUACUAAAGUUAUGAUAUUUUGAUAAAAACUGAUGAAAUGUGAAAGAUCUUAUUGUCAAUAGGCCUACAGUAUAGUUAGUUCCUGAUCUCCUGGCAACUUUUGUUACAAAGUUUUUAACCUUUUCAUCUUUUAUUUCAGUAUCAGUCAGAAUAAACUCACAGCCAUACUCAAGCACUAUAAAGAAGAAGGAUUGACCCUUCGGUUCAAGAAAAGUGGUGGUAGGCGUGCUACAGAUCCAAGGCUACUGACGCAUGAAGACGUGACUCGUGUUAUAUCUUUCAUAAUAAAUUUCGCAGAGGCCCAUUCAGUAUCACUAGCAGGGAGAGUUCCAGGCUAUAAACGGUUUGAUAUAAAGCUCCUGCCGUCCCAUUACUCCAAGACCAGUAUCUUUAAACUGUACACAUCUGCAAUGGAAACAGCAGGUCACCGAGCUGUCAAGACACGAUCUUUCAGAAGUUUAUGGGGGACACUGCUGCCAUACAUCGUACAAUCUCGGCCAAUGACAGACUUGUGCUGGGUAUGUCAACGUAACAACUCGGCUGUGUAUCGAAGUGCAAAUAUGUCUGAUGAGGAGAAGUCGAAGCGUAUCCAUGCGCAAGAGUUCCACAUCAAGAGGGUCACCCUGGAGCGAUCUCUCUAUCAGGACAUGGUUCAUGCUUCUAAGGAAACUAUACAGGAUACUGGAUUAGUGCUGGGGAAAAACGCACCGAACUCUAGGAAUCUAAUAAUGCAUUAUUCUUUUGAUUACGCACAGCAGGUGCAUUACCCUUCAAACCCCAUGCAGCCAGGCCCACUUUACUUCCUCACUCCAAAGAAAUGUGGCUUGUUUAGUGUUACCUGCGAAGGCUUGCCACAGCAAGUAAACUAUCUUAUUGAUGAGGGUAUGUGCAUUUCGAAGGGUUCCAAUGCAGUCAUAAAUUUAAAAUUUCUUGAUACGAUUGGACUCAGAAAAAUGCACAUGCAAUUGCACUGUGACAAUUGUAGUGGGCAAAAAACAAGAAUAACAUGAUGCUGUGGUGUCUGUUGAGGCGAGUUCUUUGUGGACUGCACAAUACUAUAUCCCUCAACUUCCUUAUAACUGGACAUUCAAAAUUUGCUCCUGAUUGGUGUUUUGGUUUGAUUAAACAAAGGUACAAGAGGACAAUGGUGUCCUGUUUGGAUGACAUCGUUGAUGUUGUAACUUCAAGUACUAAGAAAGUCAAUAUUGCCCAGAAAGUUGGCAGUGAAGGUGGGAAGAUUUUUGUACCUCGGAGGGACUGGAAUACAUACCUAAGACCAUUUUUCAAAUCACUACCUGGAAUUAAAAAAACACAACAUUUCAGGUUUGAUUCUGAGCAUCCCGGCUGCGUUUUCUACAAGGAAUUUUCAGACUCUGGGGAACAGAUGGUCUGUCUCCUAAAGAACCUGACUGGCCGUCCUCCUCUUGAGCGACCGAAUCAACUGCUGCCUACUGGCCUCGAUGACAAACGCCAGAACUACUUGUUCAAGUCCAUCCGAGAGUUUUGCACCAUGCCAGUAAAUAAAGUUGCAGAGGAAUAAAGUGACAAAGAGGAGCCAUUGGAACCUGCAGCUGGCCAAGAGUCGUAAAGACCCAUGUGUCUGGACAUUCUUGGACAACUGGACCUCCCUUGUGCUUGUGUGUGAAAUGCUGAAACAUGUCCCAUUCAUGAAACUAUCUUGUUUGAUUUCAAGUUUUAGUACUUUUGAUUUUUGAUUAUAAUAUUUUCCAAAUAUUUUUAUUCCAGAAAUCUGUUUAAGACAAAAAAGGUUGGGGGGUGGUUGCUUACUGCUUGACUGUUUUGUUCUUAAUUAUCCUAAAAGUAAAUUAGUCUGUAAAUCAGAUGAGGUUGUUUAACGUGUAUGUUUAUUUCCAGAGUGAAUACCGGUAUAUCAAACAAUAUAUCAAUAAAAACAAUUAUUGUAUAUAGAAUAAAAUAUUAAUAAAGUUAAUGAAUAGUUAAUAAGUUAAUAAGAUGUCUAUCUUUGUAUGCUUUAUUGUAAAUUGUACAUAUACAUAUAUUGUCACAUGCAUUAUUUAAAGAAAUGAAAUUAUAAAACGAGAACUAAAAAAUAUGACACAGUAUUAAAUGUAACGUUACUUACCUGAAAGUAAUUUAGUCUUGAAAUCAGAUGAGAGUGUUCAACAUGUAUGUUUAUUUCCAGAGUGAAUAUACAUGUAGAUGUUGUUGUUCUAGGUGUUUAAUGUCUGCUUCCACCAAAGGUGAUAUCACAGAUAAUUUGUCUUACUUUUAUUAUCUUAGUGCAUGUGAAGAGUCUUUUCUGUGGGAGUAAACCCAUGAGUGUGAGAAGGUGCCCCUAUCUCCAAGCCACAUAUACUCACACCAGGGAUCGAAACCACAAUUGCAAGCCAGAGGUGACCGACCAGCUAGAGUUCGAAGCGUGAUACUCUAGGCCAUCCCAUCCCAUCUAUAUAUGUUGCACCCUGCUGAGUUUAUAUACAUAUUGGAAAUUAGAUCUGAUUUAGAGCAUCUUAAGUUUAAACAAUUAAAGAUACAUUAUGUAAGAUUUAGAUAAAGAGCUGGCCAUUCUUGCUAUAAUAGCUCACAAAUAGAUAAUACAAAAUAAAAAUAUUGAAUAUUUCAUGCAAAUUACUCGAUUCUGAGUCAAGUUAUCACUGUUUGUUGUAGUUUUGACUAGAUGUGUGCAUUGUUGUAACCAGGGCACUGGUAUAUUCAAGACAUGGCCUGGCUUUCCGAUUUUUAAAUUUAAUUUUUAAAUGACGAACCAAUCUAAUCUAGUUAAAAUCUUGAGUAUCUGAUGGUAUCAAGAGUUGAUUUGGUCUUGUUUUGUUAAUAAAUGCCUAAUUAAUAUUUUAUAUAACAUUUAAGGCCAAAAGAAAGACCUGCAAUAGGCAUUUUAGCUCUUACGUAAUGCAUGUUAAACACAAUAGCUUUAAUUAGACAGCUGGACAAGGUAUGGUCUUGUCGUUAAUUAUAAGAGUACAACAGUGAGUGAGCUUAAAUUAUAUAUCUCUAGACUUUAAGGUAAUUAAAACAAUGAAUUUACAAAUGAAAUGAAAUGGGGUUUAACCUUAUUUAUUUUACAACUAGUCCAGCAAGCCUGAGGUUUGAUUAACGUCUAUAAUGAAUGAAUAUGUGUAGUAAUAAUAAAAUUAAAAUAUAUAAUAUUUCACAAGUAAUGUUGCAUGUUCAUGUAGAGUUAUAAUUUACUCAAUUACAGAUGUAUAAGCUUGCAUCCUGAUGUUGAUGAGGUGCGAGAUAAAAUUAUACUGUUUGAAUUUUAAAAGUUGACCGAAACACAUUAAAUGUUAUUAAUACAAUAAAAGGACUUUUGUUUUAGUCUGGAUUAACCUAGCCUACUACUUACUAGACUAGCUCGAUAUACGGUACUACGUACUCGAGAUAAGAUUUUGUUUACAUUUUAAACAGUAGUGAAAUUAACACAAUAAAUUAAACGAGAAUUCAACAGUCCGUGCACGAAGUGCCGUCAGUCAGUGCCAAUACGGCGAUGAUUUAAUAUUUGUAAGUUGAGUGUUCGUUAACCCGUCCACAAGCAAACCUGUCCACAGUUAAGGUAAUACCGGUACUUGACUUGUAUAUUAUUUAAUUGAUUAGAAAAGAUCAGUUUUACUCAUUGGUUGUUUAUAUUGUUUUAUUUACCUAAUAAUCAACUAGCUUGGCUCGCCAUCACGACAGCGAUUAGUUCGAGUUCAAAUUCUUUAUUCCGUUAAGCCAAAGACUCAUCAGGUAUAACAUAUAGUACAAACAAAUAAAUAAAUACAAUAUGUACAAAAACAAUAUAGUUCACCGAUGUUUUUGUAAUAAAGAACAAUAGUAUUGUUUGUUGAUUAGCGUUAUGAUUUUAGACAAAAUGGUAAGUUCACCAAUGUUUUUGUAAUAAAGUAGACCCGUAUUGUUUGUUAAUUGACUUUAUCCCAUGAUUUAAAAAAUUGGCGAUGGUUAAUAUUGGGUCAAAAAUAAUUCCUUAAAUUGCGCCGGAGCCCCUUUUAGAUAAAUUGAAUUCGCAUAAAAACAACAAAGAGUGGCUCGUGCGAUUUUAUUCUUUGAUCUUUGAUACACGGGACAUUUCUGUUAUUCAAACAAAUCUGCACGAGAAUGACAACAUACAAGUUGACAGUUACCAUUGAUUUGGGGUUCAUGUAGAAUAGGCUCUUCUAUCGAGCCUACAGUUAUUCUUUUCUAAAAUAAAAUGAGUGCCUUGGAUUUUUGUGUGGAUUUGAUAGCGGUUAUACUUAAC